rnacentral:rRNA from 1 species
GACGAACGCUGGCGGCGUGCUUAACACAUGCAAGUCGAACGGAAAGGCCCUUCGGGGUACUCGAGUGGCGAACGGGUGAGUAACACGUGGGUGAUCUUCCCUGCACUUUGGGAUAAGCCUGGGAAACUGGGUCUAAUACCGAAUAGGACCACGCGCUUCAUGGUGUUUGGUGGAAAGCUUUGGCGGUGGGGGAUGGGCCCGCGGCCUAUCAGCUUGUUGGUGGGGUAAUGGCCUACCAAGGCGACGACGGGUAGCCGGCCUGAGAGGGUGACCGGCCACACUGGGACUGAGAUACGGCCCAGACUCCUACGGGAGGCAGCAGUGGGGAAUAUUGCACAAUGGGCGCAAGCCUGAUGCAGCGACGCCGCGUGAGGGAUGACGGCCUUCGGGUUGUAAACCUCUUUCAAUAGGGACGAAGCGCAAGUGACGGUACCUAUAGAAGAAGCACCGGCCAACUACGUG